AGUGAACGCUGGCGGUAGGCCUAACACAUGCAAGUCGAACGGCAGCACAGUAAGAGCUUGCUCUUACGGGUGGCGAGUGGCGGACGGGUGAGGAAUACAUCGGAAUCUACUUUUUCGUGGGGGAUAACGUAGGGAAACUUACGCUAAUACCGCAUACGUCCUACGGGUGAAAGCAGGGGAUCUUCGGACCUUGCGCGAUUGAAUGAGCCGAUGUCGGAUUAGCUAGUUGGCGGGGUAAAGGCCCACCAAGGCGACGAUCCGUAGCUGGUCUGAGAGGAUGAUCAGCCACACUGGAACUGAGACACGGUCCAGACUCCUACGGGAGGCGGCAGUGGGGAAUAUUGGACAAAGGGCGCAAGCCUGAUCCAGCCAUACCGCGUGGGUGAAGAAGGCCUUCGGGUUGUAAAGCCCUUUUGUUGGGAAAGAAAAGCAGCAGGUUAAUACCCCGCUGUUCUGACGGUACCCAAAGAAUAAGCACCGGCUAACUUCGUG
rnacentral:rRNA from 1 species